CCACAACUUAACACCUAGGUAUUACCGAAAUGUAUAUCUACUGUUUCACUAAAGGAGUUUUGACUUUGUGCGCUCAUUUACCAAAAACAGUGGCGCUUACGUGUUGAGGUCUCCAAGCCACCCCCCUAAAUAAAUCACAAUUCACACCAAGAUUUUUGUUUAAGGUUUUUGGCAUAAUUUUGGCCACAACUUUAUUAAAAUAUAUACUGGUAAUGUGAGUGGUUGCAUUGGUUACGGCUAUCUGUCCCCGCCCAGGGACAGAACUGACAUCCGCACACCUACGGAAGUCAGUAAGGGAAAACAUUUCUGGAAGAGAAUGGAGCUGGGCACCAGACCCUCAGCUCUCCCCGAAUGCUCCCAGGGGCACUUGCACCCCAUGCCAGGGGUUCAGACAAAAUCAUGGCAAGCCCCUGGAUUCCUUUAACAAAAUACCCUUGCAGCAGCAGCAUUGGAGGGGCAGGCACAGCCAAAUCCAUACCCCUCCACCAACCAAUUUUUAACCAAUGCCUAACCGCAACCUUACAAGUUGUGACGAUUUGCUACGCAGUAGGCAAAAACCAAAUGGCAAGCCAAUCAGUCAAGUGGGGAAAAUUCCUACCAGGCCCCUGCCCCAAAAGCAGACGACUCCAUGACAGGCAUAGCAAGGUCAAACUCACAAGCCCUAGAUUAGGGAGGGUGGGCGGGUGAUCCGAUGCACGCAGCGAAAAGGGAGGCUCAACGCUGCAAUACCUUUAUUCCAGCAAGGUAGCUCAGUCAAUAGAAGCUCUUAAUCUCAGCAUCAUGAGUUUGAGCCCCACAUUGGGCAAAAAGAUUCCUGAAUCGCAGAGGGUCAGACUGAUGACCCUCAUGGCUGUUUUUGACUCUACAAUUCUAUAAUUCUGUGUAACCUUUGGCCUGCCAGACUGAUAACUUUCAGGUGAUUAACUCUCAAACUAAAAAGGAUGUUCUCUUCUCAGCCUGUCUUCAUUUUCAAACACUCGUGGUUGUUUUGUUUUAUUGUGUUUAGCUGUUCGAUAGAGGAAAAGAAAAGGAAGAAUUGCGGCUGGUGGCACCAUGAAGUAAUCUUCUGGGAGCACCCAGAUACAGCCAGAAUCAUGAAGAGGCACCAACUGAAUGAACCGGUGCCCUCCACGGGAUGAUAACAGGCAUGCAGUUGGCGUGAUUUAUAGUUUUGUGGCGACUCUUCUUUAUUUAGUGACAUAAUUUAUUUCCCACACCUUUGACAUCGAUUUAGGUUUCCAGCACUGCUUUGCAGAAACAAAAACAAAAAAAAACACCUUGGACUCAUUGGCAGGAUUUAAAUAAACAUUUACAACUUUAUUUACAGAGAACAAGAAAUAUAACAGGUGAUAACAGAACAUUAUGUAUAAACACCAGAAUGUAACAUUUGGUGUAACAAACCAGAAAUGGAAGUGGGGGGAAGUCAACAGGGAGGGGGAAAACUGGAAAACGAAUGCUAAGUGAUGAUAUUGGAUAUUUGUUAUGAG